CUUUUAUGGGGCACUAUAGUUAGCGUUCUUCAUAUUUACUACAUUAAUUUUGCUGUAUUAAUCCAACCACUUAUUUAGUUUGUUUGCUGGUUUUUUAAUGUGCCCUCGAUUUGUUGUUCUUUGAACAAAUAGAUGAUAACUCAUUUAGUUUUUCUGUAAAAAUCUAUAUUUAUUUUUUCGUGAUUGUUGAAUUUUUUGUUCUACUUGCGUUUCUGAAUUGGGUAAAACCCAUUUGGUGGAUUUUCCAUGUUAAUAUGUAUAAAAAUGUAGAGAUGUAGAGAUUUUUUUUUCCCAUUUUUAUGACAAUUCUUGGUAAUUAAACACGUUACAGUGGAUUGCAGAGAGAAUACAAUACCUUCGAAAUUGAUACAAGUUACAGUGGAUUUUUUGCACCCUUUUUUCCCAUUUUUUGGAGUCUAUUGAUCUCUGUUAUAAUUAUUUGAGCUCAAUCCCAGGUGGGUUCAUCACUGAUUGCCGAGAGAUUAGUGGAUUGAAAUUGUUGAAUUGUAGUAGGAAUAGAUUGGUUGGUUCUUUGCCUAAUUUCAUGACUUUAGGAUGUUAGAACACUUGGAUUUUUCACAAAAUUCAAUUACUGGGGAAAUUUAUUCACAAUUUCUUGAAUUGGAUUCCCUCAAGAGCCUGAACCUUAGCCAAUACAAUUUCACGUGUUGUUCCUAAAAAAAUAGGAAAAUUGUUUCUUUUAGAGGAACUACAACUUUCUUUUCCUCAAAAGUUUAGACCUUAGUUAUAACAUGUUGACAGGGACAAUCCCUUCUAAUCUUCGGUCGGAACAAAUUUGCAAAGGAUUUAACUAAUGAAAAGAAAAUUAUCCGCCUAUGUUGACAGGGACAAUCCCAUUCUGUUUUAAUUAGCUGAAUUCAUCUAAGUAGUUGCUUGAAAAUAUGGUUUCUUGGUAGUGGUUGACUGGUAUUAAAUGUUUGAGAGAAGGAUCCCCACAAGUGGACUAAGUAGGAGUAAGGUCGAUAAAAUUCUUCUGUGUUUGAAAAUAAUCUCCAUAUUAUCGAUGUGGAAAAGUAUAUUCUUUUGCUUUUUUUCAUAAGCGCCAACUUGUGAGCUCUUGAUUAAUAUUUAUGUAAUAUUUUUAUUAAAAAAUUUGUCUGUAAAGUCUUGGUAGGUUGUAAGCUACUCAACAGAACUCACACCUCUCUUUCUCUUCUGAAUAUGGAGUUCUUCAUUGCAAUCUACAUUAUCUUUCUCUUUUAUGUUUUCAUUCAACUUUUUGAAAGAUUCUUGGGGCAGAAAAAUAAUUGCUGCUACAUGCUAAAUUAUGAAUGCUACAAGGCCACUAAGGACAGAAAGGUAGACACCGAAUCCUCUUGUAGAAUUUUUUUGAGAAAUAAGAAUCUUGGUUGGGAUGAAUACAAGUUUCUUUUAAAAAUCAUGGUCAGUUCAGGCAUUGGUGAACAAACUUAUUGUUCCAAAAAUGUCAUUAUGGGUGAAGAUGAAGAUCCCAGUUUCUCCAGUUCCUUCUUUAACAGCCCACAAGAGUGAAGCUCUUGAAGACCCGAAAAAAUUGAAAUAGGAUAUUAAAAAACUACACGUACUAAUUGAUAAAAUCGAAGUUUUAUAUUUUAGUUUUGCUUAACAGGUUAUGAUAAGGCAAUUCUAAUAUGCUAUGUUUUGCUUAAUUUGAUGUAUAUUCAAUAUAGCUUCAACAUGGGUAGUCACAGAGUUAGGAAUAAGGAACCAGUGUCAUGGUCUGACGAGAAUGAACACGCUUUUAUCGAAAUUCUUUACGAGAAAGUUAAAUCAAAUGCAUUGCAAUGUUCUACAUUCAUCUAAGACGAAUGGGGCAGGAUCAACGAAGCUAUGACAGCUUCAACAAAUAUGGAUUACGGCAUAAAUAGAUUGAAGGGAAAGUGGAACCGCUUACGUAAGAUUCAUCGCAUGUUCUCUGAACUUUUGAGACAUACAGAUGUUACAUGAGAUCCAAAUACCAAUAAAGUUAAUGUUGUAGAGGAAGUUUGGCAACACUUUUAUACGGUAACAUAUAUUUAUUAAAGAAUGUUUUUCGUCAUUAAUUUUUAUCUUAUCAAUUUUACAUUUUUUUAAAAAAAAUGACAAUGUGGUUUCUUUUUUCAAUGUUAGAUUAAUAAGUCGGAUUACAAGUUAUUCAAGAAGGAAGGAUGUAAGCACUACUACACUCUUGGGGAGAUAUUUAGCGAAACUACAGCUACUGGAGGAUUAGGCAGUGCCUCUACUCAGCUUCCCAACACAUCAGAGGAAGAAAGACAGCUAAAAGAUGAUUUUUUAAAUAGGGGAGUGCAUGUACGUGCAGAAAAUGAUGAUGAAGUCGAUGUGGUUUCAAAUACUCGUCGACGUAACGAAAUUGGUGCAUCGGGUGAACGGCGAUGUAAGGAACCUAAGACCAGUAAAAGUGAUAAACUCAAGACCCGCAUGGCACAGUGGUCAUCUACAGUUAGUUUGAGGAAUGAAGAAACUGAACUUCGAACACUUUAGAUAAAAGAAAAGCUGGCAAAGAUCCAAAGAAAAUCAAGUAAUCAAUCGGAUAGUGAAGUUAAUAGUCUGAAUCCUUAUUCAAAUGUUAUUUGCUUAAACUUCUUAAACAAUAUGGAAGGGGUGUCCAACGAGAUUUAUAUAAAAACAAUAAAGACUUUUAAGGAUCCCAAUUUCAGGGUGUCAUUUGUGAAGAUGCCAAAAGCAAGGAAAGGACCUAUCUUGGAACUACUUUGAUGUGACUGUUGUGUUAAUUUCUUUAGUAUUUUGUUGUUUUAAUUUGUGACUACUUUAUGUUGUUUUGAACUAUCUUGGAACUACUUUGUGUUGUUUUAAUUUCUCUAGUAUUGUGGUGAUGUUGUACUGUUUUCAUUUAUGAACAUAGUGAUGUCGAACAUUGGAGAAUUGAUGUCAAUUUUUCUUCAGUUUCUAGAUGCUUGAUUGCUUGUUUUAUUCGAAAGAAUGGUGGUUGACACGACUUAUGUUAAUUAUUUUGGUUAUAUUUUGUUCACAGUAUGACCAGUCAAUCAAAAGUGGAUGAUAAUGUGAGUACCGAGGAUUCCAUUGAUGAAGAUUCAAGUGAUGAUGAUUUGUUAUAUAUGGAUGCUUUUGGCACAAAUUUUGGAGAUUUAAUGAUGCUUAAUUGCUUUGUUGCCAACAAAGUAAGUACCAUUGGUAGGAGACCAUAUAGAACAUUGUUACUUACAGGAAAAAUGUACAUUAUAGAAAUUUUGAAUGGACAUCCAGAUGUGUGUUAUUGUAAUUUUCGUAUUCAGAAACACGAUUUCAUGAAUUUUUGUGAUAUUUUGAAAGAGAAAUGGUUGUUGAAAGAUGAAAAAAAAGUGAUCGUUGAGGAGGUGUUGCCAUGUUUUUGAUGAUUGUAUGACACAUUACAUGAUACAGUGUUAUUGGUGAUAGGUUUAAGCAUUCCAAUAACAUCAUACACAAAUGGUUUAAACGAGUUGUAAGGGCUAUUUGUUCGUUUGGCACUGAGAUAAUUCGUCCGACAAAUCAAGAUAUUGUGCAUGAGCGAAUUUUGCACAAAUAUCCUUUCUUUAAAGAUUGUAUAGGAGCAAUAGAUAGAACACAUGUUGCAGCUUGGGCUCCUGCAUCAAGACAAACAUCUUUUCGAGGAAGGAAAACUAAUGUGACACAAAAUGUGAUUUUGACAUGUGAUUUUGAUAUGAAAUUCACAUUUGUGUACUUUGGUUGGAAAGGUAUUGCUAAUGAUUCUCGAGCAUUCGUCGACGCAGUCACAAGAAGGUCGAUCAACUUUCCAAUGCCACGAGGAGGUAUAUUCUUAUACUUCAAAUAAUUAUUGCAAAUAUAUUUAUAGUGUCACAUUGUGUAAGCCUUUUUUUUUAGAUUCUGGAUAUCCAAACGUGCCUGGAUUUCUUGUCUCUUAUCGAGGUCAAAGAUAUCAUCUGCAUGACUAUGUUGGACAGUAAAGACUGCGUGGGAAGGAAGAAUUGUUCAACUAUAGACACUCCUUGUGCCGUAACAUUAUUGAACGUUGCAUUGGAAUUUUAAAGGUAAGAUUUUCUAUUUUGAAGUUGAUUACCAAUUAUCCACUUAGUAGGCAAAGACAAAUCCCUACUGCAUGUUGUCAAUAAACAAUAUUAUUCGUCAGGAGCAUGCUUUAGAUAAAUUGUUCGUAGAGUAUUCAGAGGAGAAUAUGGUGUUUCAAGACAUACCGGAGUCAAGUCAAGAUCAAGAAGUCAUACAUUUUGAUGCUAGUCAAACAGUUAAAAUGAGAUUAGUCAGGGA
rnacentral:lncRNA from 1 species